GACGAACGCUGGCGGCGUGCCUAAUACAUGCAAGUAGAACGCAGAAGGAGGAGCUUGCUUCUCUGGAUGAGUUGCGAACGGGUGAGUAACGCGUAGGUAACCUGCCUGGUAGCGGGGGAUAACUAUUGGAAACGAUAGCUAAUACCGCAUAAGAGUAGAUGUUGCAUGACAUUUGCUUAAAAGUUGCAAUUGCAUCACUACCAGAUGGACCUGCGUUGUAUUAGCUAGUUGGUGGGGUAACGGCUCACCAAGGCGACGAUACAUAGCCGACCUGAGAGGGUGAUCGGCCCACCUGGAACAGAGACACGGCCCAAAGUUCUGCGAGAGGCAGCAGUAGGGAAUCUUCAGCAACGGACGGAAGUCUGACCGAGCAACGCCGGGUGGGUGAAGAAGGUUUUCGGGUCGUAAAGCUCAGUUGUAAGAGAAGAACGAGGGUGAGAGUGGAAAGUUCACACUGUGACGGUAUCUGACCAGAAAGGGACGGCUAACUACGUG
rnacentral:rRNA from 1 species